rnacentral:rRNA from 1 species
CAGUAGCCGCGGUAAGACAGAGGAUGCAAGCGUUAUCCGGAAUGAUUGGGCGUAAAGCGUGCGUAGGCGGCUUCUUAAGUCGGAUGUGAAAUCCCUGAGCUUAACUUAGGAAUUGCAUUCGAUACUGGGAAGCUAGAGUAUGGGAGAGGAUGGUAGAAUUCCAGGUGUAGCGGUGAAAUGCGUAGAGAUCUGGAGGAAUACCGAUGGCGAAGGCAGCCAUCUGGCCUAAUACUGACGCUGAGGUACGAAAGCAUGGGGAGCAAACAGGAUUAGAUACCCCAGUAGUCCCUGUCUCUUAUAC